CGCGCGGGGCUAAACAAGUGUGCAUGUGGUGACUGUGAUCCUGAUAAACUUGCAGCAGGCCUCCCCAGAUGUUAAAAACCAAGGAGGGCAAACUCAGGCUAAGGACACCCCAGAGACAAUUCAGAAACAAAAUGCACUUUGAAGGAAGGCUUACAGCCCUUUCAGUCUGCAAAUUUUAUU
rnacentral:lncRNA from 1 species